rnacentral:rRNA from 1 species
UACGGGGGGGGCAAGCGUUGUUCGGAAUUACUGGGCGUAAAGGGCUCGUAGGCGGCCAACUAAGUCGGAUGUGAAAUCCCCAGGCUCAACUUGGGAACUGCGUCUGAUACUGGAUGGCUUGAAUUCGGGAGAGGGAUGCGGAAUUCCAGGUGUAGCGGUGAAAUGCGUAGAUAUCUGGAGGAACACCGGUGGCGAAGGCGGCAUCCUGGACCGAGAUUGACGCUGAUGCGCGAAAGCCAGGGGAGCAAACGGG